rnacentral:lncRNA from 1 species
AGCAAGGUUUUCUUUUUUGGGGAUCUCAUCUUUGUGAAGCUUUCUCCUGCAAACCUAGACUCUUUUGAUACAGGGUGGUGAAGUCCAGAGAGCUUCUUAAGAUGACUACAUAGGAUGAGAAGAACUAUUGACUAUUUACAGAGCUAUGCAAGACCACUUGUUGAGGAUUCAGAUGGGAGUUGUGGACAAAGAGCUUCAACAUGGAAGGAGGACAAUCUUAGCUGCUCUUGGUGGGAGAGAUGGUGCUGUCUGAUCUUUCAUUUGAAGAAUGUACAGUGGAAACAAAAUAAAUGCUUACUUGGCCAUAAUUUCUCAGUUGUGAGAACUGACCAGAUGAGGAGAGAAACAGAUGAGGAAGGAAGCUGUGGCCACAAGCGGGAAGAGUCAGCCUUCUCGUGCACGGCGCAUCUGCCACAGGCCAGCUAGCAGGACAGAGAAAGCAAGACCAGGAGGACAACAGCACUGUCAUUUCCAAGAUGUGGACACUGCCUCCAGCAAUUGAAGAGCAGCAGCAGGGCCGGUUUCAGCGGAUCACUGCAUUUGGAGGUACCCCUCGGACUCACAUAAUGUUUUUGGAGCAGCCCUGAGCGAUUAUCUCAGCAGAUACUGUAAAUAGCACUGGGAAACAGUAGGAAUCAUUUGCAUUUCAAAUUCAAAUACAUGUCCCAAGUGCUUAUCCAAUAUUUUGACUAUUUCUGGCAGUAACAAUUUUCAAACUGCAAUACUUAGAGCACAACUCCAAUCAUAUGUGUACAUAUACAGGGAUAUAUAUUGUAUUAUAUGUCUAUGGAUGUAUUUCUCCUUUUUUGUUAUGUGUAGCAUAUGAACCUAAAAUCACUAAAAGCGACAGCAGUAAAAAUAUUUGAAAGCUUUCCUGUAUAGAUGACAGAUGGACAACAGAUGCGUACCAGAGGUAUGCAAAGUCAAGCCUUUAACAGUUGACAAAUGCUAAAGGUUACGUUUCUAUCUCUAUCUGCACUGGUUCUAGCAGUACCUAAGAUAGAAUCCUCUAUCAGAUAUUCUUGUAAUACCCUCUGGUAUGUGCACAUCUAUUUAAAUGCAUACUUAACAUUUCUUUUAAGCCUUCUGGAACUUUUGUCUUGCUAAAUUUGCCAUCUUGUGAUUUCCAUCACCUACUGUUUAUGUACUUUUUGAAAACACGUAUGAUCUUGAAAGGAAAGCAAGGAGCAGAAGUGAAAUAUUUCAAAAAGAUAAAUCAUUUGUAAAAUCAUUUUUGGACUAAGCCUGUAUACCUGAUAACUAAGUAUGAGUGUUUCCCACACCUCUCUUUAAACAAAUAUAAUUAUUGAUCUUGUAAAGUAGCAAUCUUGCUAUAUUUCUUUCCUAUAUUGAACAGGAGGACAAAAUGAAGUUCUGUAAUUUACAUUUAUCUUAACACAGGAAAACAAGAGGUCAAAAACUACUGUGCGUUUCAUUUGUUAAUAUGGCUGUGAUAAAUGUGUAUGCAAUAGAAGGAGGUACAUACUGCACCUUGCAUUGCUGCACUGUCAUGUUGGGUUCCGUUGUGUUCUAUUUCCAUAUCUGGGAUUCCAGCAUCUGAAAGAUGUGACACUGAAGAUUAAUGCAUUCCCCUUUAUCCUCCUCUCAUGCAUCUUUAGAAAAAUAUUUAUAGCAAACUAAGGUGAUCAGCAAGUUGCACAGCUUCGCAUAAAACAUUUGGUCUUCACAGAAUUUUCUGUAGUAAAUCGUUUUCAGAAUGUGCAAACAUUACUGGUCUCACUGUGGAUCAUUUUUAAUGUGCUUCACAUUUGUCUGAUGAUCAGAUAAUAAUCAACACAUGAUAAUAAUGUAUCUGUAAAAUUCUUUUGGAGAAUAAAGGCAUCUGACAUAUGAAGAAUAAAAUGGAAAUUAAACUGUGGCAUUACUAAACCAAAUUUACUGUCUCAGGCAAAUACCUGCAAAAUAAGAGAAUUAAAGGAUACAGCCAGUACCAGUAAACAUGUCUGCAUCCAUGUGCAUGUUUGUAUGAGUGUAUUAUUGCAAACAGGGACAGUACUGUACCAGCUCAGGUUGUGUAAGAGUACUUCAUCACCCAAAGGAAGACUACAUAUGUGAUAUUAUGGGAAAGACUUCCAGGUACCUGAGAAGAGUUUUCCAGAGAGGACUGUGCUGUUUUUUUCC